rnacentral:lncRNA from 1 species
CUUUCUAGGGAAUAAAAGGUGAUAAUGGUUUAAUCACCAGAUAAUGAACCUCACUUGGUUGCCUUUCAAAGGAAGAAAUCUCUAGUUUAGUUAGAACAUGCAUUUUUUGAAAGUUCUUGCAGUCCAGUUGGCCAUAUUGGACAAGAGAGCUUCCUGCGGCCACAAGCCUGCACUGUGUGGGGCAUGAAGGCACUCAGCUGUGGGGAAAACAUUAAUGCAGGAUGGCUACUGCCCCCCAGGCACCCAUCUAUGGAAUGCCAUUUGUGUGCAUUGAACAUUUGACUGUAAUAUAAC